AGACUCAAUGGCAGUGUCUCCUGCUGAUGUCCCUCCCCUCCCUAAACUUCUCCCUCCUCCAGCUCCACCCCGCAAAUCUCCAGAUAUUUCCAACCCACUGCAUUGUUUUCUAAGUUUUGUAACCUAGUGUUACAUUGAUUUUGGCUUGUAUAUAUUAUAACAUAUUGUCAUGGCCUUUGCCUAUAAGCAAUAAAGUUUAGACUGACUGACUGGCACGGUUUUUUUUUAGGGUUGCCAACUCCUAGCUGGGAAAUAUCUGGAGAUUUGGGGGUGGAGCCAGGGUGAUACCUGCAAUAAAAUGAAAGAAGCUCAUUUUUAUUUUACUAUGUUAUGUUUAUUUAGCCAUAUUCUGUUUAGGUAGUUUAGUUAGGUUUUUAUUCCUUAAGGUCCCCAUCGUGUAUGUGACUAUGGAGGCAUCCAGGCCUGGCUACACCCUCCGCUUUAAUGGUCCUGCAGUUUGAAUACAAAAGACUCGUGAAACAUCACAAAAGAGUGCAGGACUUGUGACUGUUUUUACCAACAGCACCCAGGAAGAACACCUUUACCACCUUUUGUCUCCUGAUGGGAUCAAACCGAUAAGAUCACCCACAGCAGAGAAGACCCUGCUCCACCCCUGGACUUGCCUUCCACCAAUGAGAAAAUAGGACCUUUUAUUAUUUACCCUCCUCCUUUGUGUUUGAAUUUUUCUCCUAUAAAUGGUGUUGCAAGCCCCUUGUUUGGUCCGUUGGUUUUAGUAAAGUGCUCCUGCAUUCAA